rnacentral:rRNA from 1 species
CCUACGGGUGGCAGCAGUGGGGAAUAUUGCACAAUGGGGGCAACCCUGAUGCAGCGACGCCGCGUGAGUGAAGAAGUAUUUCGGUAUGUAAAGCUCUAUUAGCAGGGAAGAAAAUGACGGUAUCUGACUUAGAUGCCCCGGCUAAAUACGCGCCAGCAGCCGCGGUAAUACGUAGGGGGCAAGCGUUAUCCGGAUUUACUGGGUGUAUAGGGAGCGUAGACGGGAGCACAAGUCUGGAGUGAAAUGCCGGGGCUUAACCCCGGAACUGCUUUGGAAACUGUGCAGCUAGAGUGCAGGAGAGGUAAGUGGAAUUCCUAGUGUAGCGGUGAAAUGCGUAGAUAUAAGGAGGAACACCAGUGGCGAAGGCGGAUUACUGGACUGUAACUGACACUGAAGCACGAAAGCGUGGGGAUCAAACAGGAUUAGAUACCCUUGUAGUC